AGGCAAGCACAGUGCCACUGAGCUACAUCACUAGUCCAAAAAAUGACUUCUUCUUAAAAUUUUUAGACAUGUAUUUAGAUGAGACCCAGAAGAAGACACACAAAUAAAAACUGUUGUUUUAUUAUAUAAAGAUUAUAUAUGGGAUUGUAAAUGGCUUUUAUAUGAUCUUAUUAUUGACAUGUUUUUUAGGUAUUAGACAAAAGUAAGAAAACAAGGAUAUUAGUUUUUUGGGGGUUUUUUUGGUACCAGGGAUCAAACUUGCGUCCUUGUGCUUGCAUAGCAGGCGUCGAAACCACUGAGCUAAAUCCCAGGCCCACAAGGAUAUUAGUUUUAAAGAACAAUAGUGACAAUACAAUGAGAUUAAGCCCUGGGUUCUGGGAGAAAAAAAGACUAUACUUUGCAAUUAUACACACUAAAAACUAUAAAGUUUAUUUUGUUUUUGCUUUGGGGCAGUACUGGAGAUUGAACUCAGGGCCUUCAAAUGAGCUACAUCCCCAUCCCUUUUUAAUUUUCAUUUAUUUGCGUAUUGGAAAUGGAAUCCAGGGCCCUUGUACUGAGCUACAGCCCCAGGCCCCAUCUUUUUCAUUUUUUGAGACAGAAUGUCAUAAGUUCCUAAGCUUCCCAGGCUGGGCUCAGACUUGUGAUUCUCCUGGCUCAGCCUCCCAAGCAUGUGCCGCCACACCCAGCUUGAAGUAUUUUUAUAAUCAGCUGAGGUCUCAGAUAUAAGGAAGUUAGUUGGUCAAUCAACAGAUGUUCACUGAGCACCUACUAUGUGUCAGGUGCCAUUUGUGUUUGUCUUGAUGGCUACUAUCACAAAUUUAGUGGCUUAAAACAACACAACUUUAUUUUCUUAUGGUUCUGGAGGUCAGAAAUCCUGAGAUCAGAUUUUAGCAGGACUAUAUUACUUCUGCAGGCCCUAGAAGAGAAUCUGUUUCUUUGCCUUUUCUAGCUUCCAGAAGCCUCUGGAUCCUUCUGCUAAGGACCUUUCUUCCCUAGUCUUGUUAAAUCGAGAAGCAGGAGGCCAUUCACAGCCAGCUGUCUCCAUACUUGGGAUUCCUAGAAAAUAGCCUUUUUGAGGUGUGACACACAGUAGACUGCACAAAUGCACAGUGUGCAUCUGGAUAGUUUUGACACAUGGACACAUCCCGGAAGUCCUUCCCACAGCGGAGGGUCUCACUAUGUAUUCAAGCCUGGCCUCGAACUUCUGGAGAUCCUCCAGCCUCAGUCUCCCGAGUGCUGGGAUUACAGGUGUGCACCACUAUGCCCAGCCCUCUUUUAUUCUAAAACCAGCCUCUCCUCUUCCUAUCUUUCUAGAUUUAAUUCCUGCUCUUCUCCAACAUUCAACAAUAUUUAUUGGACACCUACCUGGUGUCAGGCACUGUUGUAGGCUCAAGGAAUAUAGCAGAAGUCAAAAUAGACAGCAAUCCCUGCCUUUGUGAGUUUACUCCAUAACUUUCCCUUUGUAGAGAAAUGAAAAGCUAGAAACUAAAUUCCAC
rnacentral:lncRNA from 1 species